CUCAAAAACAACAGCGGAGGCGCCGCCAGCUCUGCGCACCGCCACUGCCCAGGCCGGCGGGCGGCACUCGGACCCACCGCCCUCGGUCCCUCGCGAGGCCGCGGAGGCCAACACGCCUCGCAAGGGGGGACAGCGCGGGGGCGGCCGUCCAAACACCAGGCGUCCUCGGCUGGUUGUCCCAGGGCGCCCGCACCUCUCCGUCCGCGCCCUCCUGCCGCCGCGCCCCCCAGGUGAGUACCCCGCUGCGCGAGCGCCCGAGCUGGGCCACCUUCGGGGACCUGGACCUCUGGGGACACUCCCCUCUGGCCUCUCCGGGCCCAGGUGCGUAGGGGGCGGAAGGGCCGGCGGCGCAGGUGGAGCAGCGCGGAUAGGAGCCGACCAGACGCUUCCUCUUCCCCUGCAGCCCCCAAACUCCGAGGCGCUGCGGCGGAGGGGCCGGGCUAAGCGCAGGCAGGGUGGCCCCGGCCCAGGAACCUGACGGUCCAAGUGCGGAUUUCUCAUCUGAGUAUCUGGGAAUCGAGAAUGAAUUGGAAGAAAACCGAGGCGCUGCCCUGGCCGGGUUGCUCCCCCGCACCCUUCCGGAGCACCGAGGUCCUGCCCGGGAACGGGACUUGGAGCUGCCGCAGAGUCAGCCUGAGCCCGAGGCAGGGGUCGCGCCCGCGAUGUGGGGUCUCUCCGCCGCCCCGCGAGGCUCCUGGCCGUGCCCUCCCUGCCCUUUGUUGUGUAAUGAGACCUGUGGCGGCUCCACUGAGACCCACACGUGGAACUCCGCGCCUCCGCGUUAAAGGAGGUGAAACGCAGCAGCCCUGAGAAAUCCGAGACCCCGGUGUCCUAGCAGAGGCGCCCCGGAUGGGGAAGGGCGUGCGGCCGGCGCUACCCCAGAGGAAAAGCCCAGCGGAGCGGGGCUGGGCGGGAGCCGGCGGCGGCGGUGAGCUGGGCCUUCUGACUUGGAUCCUCCGUAGUCGGCACCACUUCCCUGCUCAGAUUCGAACCCAGAUGCGGCUCCCAUGGCUCCAGGGUGCCCAGUCUUGCAGCCAGCUCGCCGCCCGAACCCUGGAUGGAAGAAGCGCUCACUGGCCGCUACCUCUGCUGUUUCUGGCACCAGAAACGAAGUGCCAUCAAUUGCAUCGCACAUCCACUUGCACAUGCUUGCUGUGUACUUAGGGGCUGCACUGGAACUCAGGGCUGGUCCGUCCAGGGGUGCACGUGCUCACAACGUGGACAGAAACUGGCAGAAAAAUGCUUUCCAGCUUCCUCCUUCCCUUUCCCAGGGUCCAACGCCCCCUAUGUGAAGAACCACGGGACAAUUCCUCAAAGGGUUGCUUUCCUCCCAAGGCCUUCUAAAAUCUCCACGUGAAAACUCGAGGGCGAAUGGAGGGGUGGAUUCUGGCAGCCGUUGCACCCGUGUCCUGGGGCUGCUGGAAGCACGUGCCGCAAACUCAGCGGUAGAAACAGCAGAAACUCAUCCUCCC
rnacentral:lncRNA from 1 species